UUAAAUUGCAUAAAGUAAAUGACUUGAAAGUAAAGCAAUAUUAAUAAGAGUUAGUCAAAUGUUAGUCAAGGUUAAUUGAAUGUUAGUGAUGUUUUGCUUUUUAAUUGAUUAAGUCAUUCUUUGGAGAAUACUCAACCAUCUAUUCAUAAGCAUGGACCCUUGAACCAAGACAUCUUCCAUAGGAAGGAAAAAAGGCCAAGUUUCUACAUAAUACCAUGAAAGAUGGGAGACUUACA
rnacentral:lncRNA from 1 species